CAUAAAUACAAGAGAGAAAAUGAAACCCUAGCAGGAGAAUGAAGACAGAGGAAGAUCCAGAACCAGUAGAAGAAGAAGAAGGUGAAGAUGGAGGUGGUUCAAGCUUUUGCUUAAAGAAUAAAGAAAAUGUCGGAAGAUUUUACGGGACGUUAAAGUUAGUAUCAGAGCACCAGGCUAAACCGGUUCUGUAGACAAACCCACAUGUACAUUCACAAAGAUAGACAUGCACUCACUGUAAGGUCAAAGGUAAAGUGGAUUAGUGAGCGCUGAAGUUUAUCUGCGAGGAUGUACAUGUGGAUCGACCUUUUGGGAAUUUAUGUUUUUGGGAUUAGAACCAAUAUGAUAACUAAUAGUUUAAUUUGGGCUUGUUGAAUGUUUUAAAAUUAUGACAAUGUAAUUCACUUUUAAGUAUGCACAUACUUCCGAACUAUUGCAUGUUUUGAAAAGUUUUUUUUAAUGGAUUUUUUGUUACCUUAUUUUUAGAAAAUAGU